UUUUUACAGCUGAGUAAUACUCCACUGUGUAUAUGUACCAUAUUUUCUUUAUCCAUUCUUCAGUUGAGGAACAUCUAGGUUAUUUCCAGGUUGUGGUUAUUAUGAUUAAUGUUGAUAUGACCAUAGUUGAGCAAGGGCUGCAGAACUAACAGAGAAGAAAAUUGAGAGAACAGAA